GUUACUCUAUGGUACUAUCAUUUUAGAUUGUUGUGAUAAAAAAUAAAUAGCUGAAAUAGGCAGAUCUUCCUUUUACAACUUCACCUUUUAAAGUAGUACUGAGUGUCGGUAAAUGCAGUGAGUAAUACUAAAUAAGCAGUAUGGUGGUAAUAAUAUAACUUCAUUGACUUAUUUUGUUUAGGAGAAUCCAUCCUCAACAUACAGGAUUCUGAAGACUAUCCACCUUUAAGAUCACCAUCAUUUUCUAGAGUUUCAGAGCUAUCUCCCAAUGAUAGUGUUUCAGUCGCAUCAUGUAUGUCACAUAGCCACACUAUAUCACCUGU